rnacentral:rRNA from 1 species
AGUGGGGAAUAUUGGACAAUGGGGGCAACCCUGAUCCAGCAAUGCCGCGUGUGUGAAGAAGGCCUUCGGGUUGUAAAGCACUUUUAUCCGGAACGAAACGUGCGGGGUGAAUAGCCUCGUAAACUGACGGUACCGGAGGAAUAAGCACCGGCUAACUUCGUGCCAGCAGCCGCGGUAAUACGAAGGGUGCAAGCGUUACUCGGAAUUACUGGGCGUAAAGGGUGCGUAGGUGGUUUUUAAGUCUGCUGUGAAAUCCCCGGGCUCAACCUGGGAAUGGCAGUGGAUACUGGAAAGCUGGAGUGCGGUAGAGGGUAGUGGAAUUCCCGGUGUAGCAGUGAAAUGCGUAGAGAUCGGGAGGAACACCAGUGGCGAAGGCGGCUACCUGGACCAGCACUGACACUGAGGCACGAAAGCGUGGGGAGCAAACAGGAUUAGAUACCCUGGUAGUCCACGCCCUAAACGAUGCGAACUGGAUGUUGGGUGCAACUUGGCACUCAGUAUCGAAGCUAACGCGUUAAGUUCGCCGCCUGGGGAGUACGGUCGCAAGACUGA